rnacentral:rRNA from 1 species
CCUACGGGAGGCAGCAGUAGGGAAUAUUGCUCAAUGGGGGAAACUCUGAAGCAGCAACGCCGCGUGGAGGAUGAAGGUUUUCGGAUUGUAAACUCCUUUUGUUAGAGAAGAUAAUGACGGUAUCUAACGAAUAAGCACCGGCUAACUCCGUGCCAGCAGCCGCGGUAAUAUGGAGGGUGCAAGCGUUACUCGGAAUCACUGGGCGUAAAGAGCGCGUAGGCGGGAUAGCAAGUCAGAUGUGAAAUCCUAUGGCUUAACCAUAGAACUGCAUUUGAAACUGUUAUUCUAGAGUAUGGGAGAGGUAGGUGGAAUGCUUGGUGUAGGGGUAAAAUCCGUAGAGAUCAAGAGGAAUACUCAUUGCGAAGGCGACCUGCUAGAACAUAACUGACGCUGAUGCGCGAAAGCGUGGGGAGCAAACAGGAUUAGAUACCCGAGUAGUC